GGGCAAGUCUGGUGCCAGCAGCCGCGGUAAUUCCAGCUCCAAUAGCGUAUAUUAAAGUUGUUGCAGUUAAAAAAGCUCGUAGUUGGAUCUCAGUGUGACGGCGCCGGUUCACUUUAUGGUGGUACUGACGCAUGUUAACCUUUCUCACGGAUGAGGUAGAUACUCUUCAUUGAGUGUCUAUCUUUAAUCCGCGACGUUUACUUUGAACAAAUUGGAGUGCUUCAAGCAGGCUUCUCGCCUGAACAUUUAUGCAUGGAAUAAUGAAAUAUGACCUGAUCAUAUUUUCGUUGGUUUGAUGCGAUCAGGUAAUGAUUGAGAGGGACAUACGGGGACAUUCGUAUUGUGGCGGGAGAGGUGAAAUUCUACGAUCGCUACAAGACGCACUAAUGCAAUGGCAGCUGUCAAGCGUGUUUCCAUCAAUCAAGAGCGAAAGUCAGAGUYUCGAAGACGAUUAGAUACCGACCUAGUUCUGACUGUAAACCAUGUCGGCUGGCGAUCUGCUGAUUAAUGAUAACACAGACCAGUGGGCAGCCCUCGGGAAACCAAAGCUUUUGGAUUCCGGGGGAAGUAUGGUUGCAAAGCUGAAACUUAAAGGAAUUGACGGAAGGGCACCACCAGGAGUGGAGCCUGCGGCUUAAUUUGACUCAACACGUGGAAUCUCACCAGGUCCGGACAUAGUAAGGAUUGACAGAUUGAGAGCUCUUUCUCGAUUCUAUGGAUGGUGGUGCAUGGCCGUUCUUAGUUGGUGGAGCGAUUUGUCAGGUUAAUUCCGAUAACGAACGAGACUCUAGCCUGCAAACUAGAGACCCCUCACAUGGUGAGAGGGUAUACUUCUUUGAGGGACAAUCGGCAUUUAGUCGAACGAGAAAGAGCAAUAACAGGUCUGUGAUGCCCUUAGAUGUUCUGGGCCGCACGCGCGCUACACUGAAAGAUACAACGGGUAUCUCACUUUGCUCGGAAGAGUUGAGUAACCCUGCAGCGUCUUUCGUGCCAGGGAUCGGGGAUUGCAAUUAUUUCCCGUGAACGAGGAAUUCCCAGUAAGCGCGAGUCAUCAGCUCGCGUUGAUUACGUCCCUGCCCUUUGUACACACCGCCCGUCGCUACUACCGAUUGGAUUAGUACGUGAGGAGUUUGGACUUGAACUGUCCCGGGGGCUUUGUUCCUGGCUCGGCUCGGGGAAGAACGCCAAAUGUAUUUUGUCUAGAGGAA
rnacentral:rRNA from 1 species